GUUGUAACCUUCUGUUCUUUUUGACUGGAAUUGAAAGAGUUUUAUUUUCCGUAGGUUCCAGGCACCUGAUCUAGAUGUUCAGCUUAGCUAUGAGCUUGCCAGCUCUCUUCGCAGUCUAAAGCCAGAGGGCAGCAUCCUAAAAGACAGAUUUAAGAGUUUACAGAAGAGAAACAUUAUUGAGGCCAGAGAAAGAGCCAAGUUUAAGAGGAAGUACAAGCUGACGUACUCCGAGAGGAGGGCCUUCAGGGAGAUACAGUGACCGCACAGUUAUGUGUUUCCUUUCAGUCCUCCAACAAAUGAUGGUGUGCUAUUUGUUGCAAUAAAAAAAAGUUAUAU